rnacentral:rRNA from 1 species
AGUGAACGCUGGCGGUAGGCCUAACACAUGCAAGUCGAACGGCAGCACAGUAAGCGCUUGCUCUUACGGGUGGCGAGUGGCGGACGGGUGAGGCAUACAUCGGAAUCUACUUUUUCGUGGGGGAUAACGUAGAGAAACUUCCGAUACUACCGCAUACGACCUACGGGUGAAAUCAAAGGAUAUUCGGACCUUGCGCGAUUGAAUGAGACGAUGUCGGAUUAGCUAGUUGGCGGGGUAAAGGCACACCAAGGCGACGAUCCGUAGCUGGUCUGAGAGGAUGAUCAGCCACACUGGAACUGAGACACGGUCCAGACUCCUACGGGAGGCAGCAGUGGGGAAUAUUGGACAAUGGGCGCAAGCCUGAUCCAGCCAUACCGCGUGAGCGAAGAAGGCCUUCGGGUUGUAAAGCCCUUUUGUUAGGAAAGAAAAGCAGCAGGUUAAUACCCCGCUGUUCUGACGGUACCCAAAGAAUAAGCACCGGCUAACUUCGUG